rnacentral:tRNA from 1 species
AAUUACUUAGUAUAUAUGUAGUACUUUCGUUUUCGACACGAUAAGGAGAGGUAUUCAGUAAUUU